rnacentral:rRNA from 1 species
AUUGAACGCUGGCGGCAGGCCUAACACAUGCAAGUCGAACGAGUGGCGGACGGGUGAGUAAUGUCUUGGAAACUGCCUGAUGGAGGGGGAUAACUACUGGAAAUGGUAGCUAAAACCGCAUACUCUCGGCUGUGCCCAGAUGGGAUUAGCUAGUAGGUGGGGUAACGGCUCACCUAGGCGACGAUCCCUAGCUGGUCUGAGAGUAUGAACAGCCAAACUGGAACGGAGGCACGGCCCAGACUCCGACGCUGGGCAGCAGUGGGGAAUAUUGCACAAUGGGGGCAUGCGGGAUGCAGCCAUACGGCGGGUAUGAAGAAGGCCUUCGGGUUGUAAAGUACUUUCAGCGUGGGAGCGGUACCCGCAGAAGAAGCACCGGCUAACUCCGUGCCAGCAGCCGCGGUAAUUC